AACGAACGCUGGCGGCAGGCUUAACACAUGCAAGUCGAGCGCCCCGCAAGGGGAGCGGCAGACGGGUGAGUAACGCGUGGGAAUCUACCGAGCCCUGCGGAAUAGCUCCGGGAAACUGGAAUUAAUACCGCAUACGCCCUACGGGGGAAAGAUUUAUCGGGGUUUGAUGAGCCCGCGUUGGAUUAGCUAGUUGGUGGGGUAAUGGCCUACCAAGGCGACGAUCCAUAGCUGGUCUGAGAGGCUGAUCAGCCACGUUGGGACUGAGACACGGCCCAAACUCCUACGGGAGGCAGCAGUGGGGAAUAUUGGACAAUGGGGGCAACCCUGAUCCAGCCAUGCCGCGUGAGUGAUGAAGGCCUUAGGGUUGUAAAGCUCUUUCACCGGUGAAGAUAAUGACGGUAACCGGAGAAGAAGCCCCGGCUAACUUCGUGCCAGCAGCCGCCGUAACAC
rnacentral:rRNA from 1 species